rnacentral:rRNA from 1 species
CCUACGGGUGGCAGCAGUGAGGAAUAUUGGUCAAUGGGCGCAAGGCUGAACCAGCCAAGUAGCGUGAAGGAAGACUGAUCUAUGGUUUGUAAACUUCUUUUAUAGGGGAAUAAAGGUAUGCACGUGUGGAUAUUUGCAUGUACAAUAUGAAUAAGGAUCGGCUAACUCCGUGCCAGCAGCCGCGGUAAUACGGAGGAUCCGAGCGUUAUCCGGUUUUAGUGGGUUUAAAGGGAGCGUAGGUGGUUUUUUAGGUCAGUGGUGAAAGUUUGUGGCUCAACAACAAAAUUGCAGUUGAAACUGGCAGUCUUGAGUGCAGUUGGGGUAGGCGGAAUUCGUGGUGUAGCGGUGAAAUGCAUAGAUAUCACGAAGAACUCCGAUUGCGAAGGCAGCUUACUAAGCUAUAACUGACAUUGAUGCUCGAAAGCGUGGGGAUCAAACAGGAUUAGAUACCCUUGUAGUC